GGGGGAAUGGGACAACUGUAAUAGCAUAACCGAAAAAAUAUACUUUAAAAAAAAAGAAAAUAGAGUCAAAUGUCCACAACCUCAUUAGGUUUUUAAACAAGGAGUGGUAACAGUCCAAAACCUAUGGGACACAGCAAAGGCCGUCCUGACAGGGAAGUUCCUACCAAUGAAGGCCUACCUACAAAACAUAGAAACAUUUCAAAUAAACUACCUAACCUUAUUUAUACAAGAACAAGAGGAACAACAACAAACAAAGCCCAGA